UUUCUAUAAAAUGAUGAAUGGUUUUAACGGAAGAGUUCUUGAAGACUAUAAUUCACCACCCAAUGCUGAACUAAUCA